rnacentral:rRNA from 1 species
UACGUAGGGAGCGAGCGUUGUCCGGAAUUACUGGGUGUAAAGGGAGCGUAGGCGGGACGGCAAGUCAGAUGUGAAAACUAUGGGCUCAACCCAUAGACUGCAUUUGAAACUGUUGUUCUUGAGUGAGGUAGAGGUAAGCGGAAUUCCUGGUGUAGCGGUGAAAUGCGUAGAGAUCAGGAGGAACAUCGGUGGCGAAGGCGGCUUACUGGGCCUUUACUGACGCUGAGGCUCGAAAGCGUGGGGAGCAAACAGG